GGCUCGUUCUUCCUGAACUCCAGGGAAGCUUUCCGAAGACAGCCUGACACACUGCCGGCACUCACAGCGGCCCAAGGCCCGGCAGAGCGAAACCUACACAGUAAGCCAACACUGCUCAGUGCUCAGGACGUGUGCAGCCCGCGAGUCGGCAAACGCCUGCCGGGGACCAAACACAAGAGUUCGGCUUUAAGGCCGGGGAUUUAGCUCAGUGGUUUCGCCGCCUGCUGCGGAAGCGCAAGGACCCGAGUUCGAUCCCCGGUACCAAAAAAUAAAAAAAGCAGAGUUCGGCUUUAGAAGCACCAGGUCCGCGUCCCUCUGCGCCCUCUGCGCCCUCUGCCGCGGUGUUCAGCACAGAGCGGCAGGGGGUCGUGGUCGUGAGACACACAGUAACCUCUAGGCACCUUGGCCAGUCGGGUGUGUGACAGACCACGGCGCGGCGCGGACGUGGAGCCAGUCGUGGAAUCAUGCAAACCUCCGGCCGGGAAACGGAACCCGCGCCCCAGUCCUCCUCCAUCCCUCCUUCCAGACGGUCUGGGACAGGGCUCGCUCUGGGCCUCCGGCUCACAGCUUGGGACGAGGUCAGCAAUGAUCCCAUCUCCAAAGCUAGAGUAAAGCCAUGGCCGGCCGAGAGAGCUCCGGACCAGCACGUGGGUCCACAUCACGCGACCGUUUUUACCUGUCAACGAAGGUGGUGGUCUGGACUUCCACGUCGGGACGACUCGCUCUGAGUGGGCCCGGCGCCACACCCGGCGGUCACCCGAACUCUGCCCUGGCCGGCCGGCGGGCUGUUUUGCUUGAUCCCUAUGAGGCCUCAGUGCCCCUCCAUGCUCCAACGGCCCUGCCUCGAGAGCGCGACCUGCCAAACUCAUCCUCGGGAACUUCCUCGGCCCCCUGCCUGGGAUCUGCAGCCUCUGCAAUCUUGCAGUUGACCGAAAAUCCAACCCCACUUCAGCUGCUGAGAAUUUGCCAACCCAAACUCCUGGUAAAGGGCCCAGCCCACAGUGGGUCCUGAUCAGGACUUCUCUGCCUGCACAGCCAACACCCAGUGAGGACCUCAAACUGCACAGUGUAAGGCAGAGCCACACUCCUACCCACUCCUCGCAGCAGUGCUGCAGUCUUCCCUGGGGUCCUGUCUUACAGGACUGACAUCAGCUGCGGGCUACCUUCCGGCAAAGCACAAGUGAAGGUGGCCCCGGGAUCCGACUUCAUUCAGUCCACUCUCUUCUCCUGAACUCUCAGCCACUGCCUAAGCAGGGUCCUUAGCAUCUCUUGCCUGCUGCCCACUGUGACUCUUUCAAUGCAUCCCCAACACAGACAGAGACACACACUGGCUGGUGUCCCCACUUUGCGACUACUUGCACAGCUGACAAGCCGUUCUGGCACCCGAGGCUCACAGUCUGACCCCGAACUGCUCUCUCAGCUUUAGCCCUCCCCACUCUCGAAGCUCCUUCCAAGAACACGGCUGCCCUUCCCUGCCCUGGCCCCCCAUAGCAUGGCACUCUCUCCACUGGGAUCACAUCCCACCUCCGCCGAUCCCUUAGAAAGAGAAGCCAGAUGGGUCCCUUUACACUGCACUCAGGCCUUGCCUCUCCUGUGGAAACAGUCCCCUUCCUCCCAAGCAGGCUGAAGUAAGCCCAUUUCUAUCUGCUUCCCAGGGCUGUGGUCACAAAGUGCCACUGACUGCUGAUGAGGAACAACAGAAACAGUCUUUUAGCAUCCUACAGGUGAGACUUCCUAAACCAAGGUCUUGGCAAGGCCAGGCUCCCUCUGCAGGCUGCAAGAACAAGCUUGCUCGCCCUUCCUAACAGGUCUCAGGUGUUCUUCCUGCUGCUGUAUCACUCCAAUGUCCUCUCUCAUCUUCACAUGAUACGUGUGCUCCCUGUAUGCAUCCAUGUCUAAAUUUCCCUUUCCUAGAAGGAUACGGCUCCUUGGAUUACUGCCCACCCCAAGUCAGUAUGACACCCAGCAGUGUAAUGAUUCCCACCUCUCACUCAACGUUAACUCAUAGCUCUCACUAUCAUUUACCCCCAGUAUCCAACACACAUACAGUAGCUCCUCAAUAAAAGCUGACCUAGCUGCAAAAUGCUUCCUUCUCUUAGUCGUUUUCCCUUUCAAACCCCGUUUCCUUUUUCCUAUGUCUCAAGUUGUAACACACUGCACACAACACUGUAACUCUGUGGUAGUCCAGGGUCGUGACUACACACUGUCCUACCGAGACCCCUGGCAUCUGGUUCCUGCAGUGGCUUCCACAGAUGUUUUACACGAUGGACACUGUCCAAGUAAACCAGGCUCACUCAGCUGAUACUGAAAGUGAAAAUGCCCAGAGAGGAUAAGAAGUGUCUGCUGCUAUCAGACACACGCCCGUGCAGCCUCACCUACUCCACACCGGCUGUCGGCAGACGCCGAUUACUCCGGAGGGGCCACCUCUGCACAAACGCCAAGCUUCAAGAACUCCCGCCCAGCAAGAAGUUAUGCUGCUCUUAACCCAAAUUACAGGCAGCCUCGCAAUCGCCUCUUCCCGGGCUCCACCCUGAACCGGGAAGGCCCAGACGUGUCGUUUCGGGCCUCUGCAGCCCCUGCCGAAUUCACAGACCCGGCAGUGACGCUGAGCCCAGCCGGCCGGGCUGAGUUCGAGGACGUCCUGCCAGCGCCCUCCACCACACCCGCCCACAGCCCACUCGGCCUUUUGGGACUCGGCUUCCCGA
rnacentral:lncRNA from 1 species